UUAUUUCUCCUGCUCUCUUUUGUUCUUCAUUAACAAUCAAAACUAAACCCUAGGUUUCAAAUUCUUAACGAAUUUCUUCGUCGAAACACCAAGAAAUAUUAAAAUCCAUCAUCUUUAAUAAUCAAUUUAUCAACGGAAGCUUCAAAUCAUCGACCGGUGAGUAUAAUCGACGGCGGAAUCGAAUUGGACGAUUGAGUUCACGAAGUGUCUCCUAACCUAUCAAUUGAAUCUUGAAGAAAGCGAGAUUUGGCGAGUUCGCGAAUCCCAGGGUCAGAAUUGCAGCAGCAGUAAGAGAGUAUUAUUUUGGAAAAUAGCGGUGGACUGUACAUAGUAUUUUGCGUGAUCGAACUUCCACUUUUUCUUCCGGAAGUCGACGUAUUUGAAAUGUAAACAAAAAUAAUUAAUUUAAUUCUAGAGCCGCAGUAGUCUAGUAGUUUAGAGGUCUUGUUUUGCUGUACAAACUCUGAUUUUGAAACUACUAUUGUUUGUAUAUUAUUUACGGUUACUGUGUAGUAGUUGUUUAACUAAAUGGUUUAUCGAGUAUCACUGAUA